ACCUCGUGAUCUAUAUACGGAGCUCUUGAGUCUUGACUCCCUUCUCAUUUCAUCAAAUUGCAAGCUCACAUUUUGUUUUCGAACAAUACAUUUUAUCUUAUCUGUUUUAUUCUACUGCCGAUUGCUCCAGCAAUGGUUGUUAUCAAUGAAUGCUGACGCUAACGAUAAGAUAGCAUAGUUAGAGAAGUGAACCCCUGGGCGAAAAAUAAAUAGCCAGUCCAUGAAAGAGACACUUUGGAGAGGAUUGACCACUUACUGAGUUUGAUUGUCAAGGGAUUAGGUUUACGAUUUGAUUACCUAUAUACAUCCGGCCUAUUUGGAUAUCGCUUAUCGUUAUCUCAUUAAACAAGAAUUGCGAAUCGAUUAGAAAUAGACCGACUGAAGGUGUUCCGCAUAUCAAACCGAUUCCAGCAGUGAAAGGAAGCAGCCCGCUAGGUGAUAAAAGAUCUCUAACAAUGAAAAUUUUACUUUUGAUUUGCGGAAUUUUCCUGGUAACGUUGGCCGUGCAAGGUCGACCUGUCUGUGAGGAGUGCGCCGAAGAAGCCCCAUUGGCAGUUCCGGAUGAAAAUGUUUUGAAGGUCGUGAAGCUUCCACUGGUCAAAUCAGAGCAGGGUUUUGAAGAAGCUGCAAACGAAAAUAAAAUUGAUCCGGUUAACAUUAUUGAUGCUCCCGUCGUUUGCCCCGAGGGACAGAAGCCAGACCAUAACGGAAAAUGUCGCCCUGUUUGGAGCGGAUAGGAAUCGAUAGAAGCUUGGGGUGCUAAUAACUAUUAGUAUUACUAAUUGUAUCUCAACUUUGCGUUAAUAAAUAUAGUAAUUUUUACUAUGAUGUAAUUAU